rnacentral:rRNA from 1 species
AACGAACGCUGGCGGCAUGCCUAACACAUGCAAGUCGAACGAGACCUUCGGGUCUAGUGGCGCACGGGUGCGUAACGCGUGGGAAUCUACCCUUGGGUUCGGAAUAACUCAGAGAAAUUUGAGCUAAUACCGGAUGAUGUCGCAAGACCAAAGAUUUAUCGCCCAAGGAUGAGCCCGCGUAGGAUUAGCUUGUUGGUGAGGUAAAAGCUCACCAAGGCGACGAUCCUUAGCUGGUCUGAGAGGAUGAUCAGCCACACUGGGACUGAGACACGGCCCAGACUCCUACGGGAGGCAGCAGUGGGGAAUAUUGGACAAUGGGCGAAAGCCUGAUCCAGCAAUGCCGCGUGAGUGAUGAAGGCCUUAGGUUGUAAAGCUCUUUACCCGGGAUGAUAAUGACAGUACCGGGAGAAGUAAGCCCGGCUAACUCCGUGCC